rnacentral:rRNA from 1 species
AUUGAACGCUGGCGGCAUGCCUUACACAUGCAAGUCGAACGGCAGCACGGAGCAAUCCUGGUGGCGAGUGGCGAACGGGUGAGUAAUAUAUCGGAACGUGCCCAGUCGUGGGGAUAACGUAGCGAAAGCUACGUUAAUACCGCAUACGAUCUAUGGAUGAAAGCGGGGGAUCGCAAGACCUCGCGCGAUUGGAGCGGCCGAUAUCAGAUUAGGUAGUUGGUGAGGUAAAGGCUCACCAAGCCGACGAUCUGUAGCUGGUCUGAGAGGACGACCAGCCACACUGGGACUGAGACACGGCCCAGACUCCUACGGGAGGCAGCAGUGGGGAAUUUUGGACAAUGGGCGCAAGCCUGAUCCAGCAAUGCCGCGUGCAGGAUGAAGGCCUCGG